UAGCCAAGACAUCCUGUUCAACUAAUGAUACAUCUCCUUAUGUCAACCAAGCCAAGAAACAGUUAGAGGCUGGACUCAUUGAUUGUAGUAUAACAGCUAAGCCUACCAGUACAGUAGCUACCACAACUGUCAGCUGCGUCUCAAAUUUGGAUCUUAUUUCACAAUGUCUGCAGAGCUAUGAGAAAAAUGUACAAAAACAUGGCGAUGAAACCAAAUAUAU
rnacentral:sRNA from 1 species